AAGGGUUGGGCUCACCAGCGGAAGUAAUUGGAUCUCCUCCCAGUCACCGGAAAGCUAUCAAUCAGCUAGUUGUUCCACUGGAGUGAGUACUUUGGAGGCGGGGCCAAAUAAACUACGCAGAACUUGCCCAAUAUUAAUAUAAACAACACAGAAUUUUGCCACUGCACACGUGAUAGCUGGGUUUUGAGUCCUGGAAGAGAAAGCCUACAUAAAAAUUAUCUGUUCUCCCUGGCAAUCUCUCUAAUAGGAAGAAUAUAUACUGACCUAUAAACUCUGUAUAACUCACAGUACAAUAAAACAUGUGAGAUA